rnacentral:misc_RNA from 1 species
UCCGGUUUGGCACCGGCAGUCUCCCUAGAGUUCCCGGCAUCACCCGCUGGCAACUAAGGACAGGGGUUGCGCUCGUUGCGCCACUUAAGGCAACACCUCACGGCACGAGCUGACGACAGCCAUGCACCACCUGUGCAGGCUCCGAAGAGCACCCGCUUUCACGGGUUUCACCCUGCAUGUCAAGCCCAGGUAAGGUGGGGAUGACGUCGCUUACAGCGUAC